UGGGGAAUUUUGGACAAUGGGGGAAACCCUGAUCCAGCCAUCCCGCGUGUGCGAUGAAGGCCUUCGGGUUGUAAAGCACUUUUGGCAGGAAAGAAACGUCGCGGGUUAAUACCCCGCGGAACUGACGGUACCUGCAGAAUAAGCACCGGCUAACUACGUGCCAGCAGCCGCGGUAAUACGUAGGGUGCAAGCGUUAAUCGGAAUUACUGGGCGUAAAGCGUGCGCAGGCGGUUCGGAAAGAAAGAUGUGAAAUCCCAGAGCUUAACUUUGGAACUGCAUUUUUAAACUACCGGGCUAGAGUGUGUCAGAGGGAGGUGGAAUUCCGCGUGUAGCAGUGAAAUGCGUAGAUAUGCGGAGGAACACCGAUGGCGAAGGCAGCCUCCUGGGAUAACACUGACGCUCAUGCACGAAAGCGUGGGGAGCAAACAGGAUUAGAUACCCUGGUAGUCCACGCCCUAAACGAUGUCAACUAGCUGUUGGGGUCUUCGGACCUUGGUAGCGCAGCUAACGCGUGAAGUUGACCGCCUGGGGAGUACGGUCGCAAGAUUAAAACUCAAAUGAAUUGACGGGG
rnacentral:rRNA from 1 species